rnacentral:sRNA from 1 species
GGAAACAGAUUCCAACACUAUAACUCGUGUAUUACGAUAUUUCUCCACUUUCGAGAGUUAAAUUUUAAUUAUUUAAAAAGCAUGACAAGACUCGCACUUUAAAUAAUAAAAUUUUAUUGUCUCACGUGGAGGAAUAUCGUAAUACACUUGUUGCAGUGUAGGAAUCUAUAUUUCC